rnacentral:rRNA from 1 species
CCUACGGGGGGCUGCAGUGGGGAAUAUUGGACAAUGGGGGCAACCCUGAUCCAGCCAUGCCGCGUGUGUGAAGAAGGCCCUCGGGUUGUAAAGCACUUUCAGUGAGGAAGAACGCCUGGUGGUUAAUACCCAUCAGGAAAGACAUCACUCACAGAAGAAGCACCGGCUAACUCCGUGCCAGCAGCCGCGGUAAUACGGAGGGUGCGAGCGUUAAUCGGAAUUACUGGGCGUAAAGCGCGCGUAGGUGGCUUGAUAAGCCGGUUGUGAAAGCCCCGGGCUCAACCUGGGAACGGCAUCCGGAACUGUCAAGCUAGAGUGCAGGAGAGGAAGGUAGAAUUCCCGGUGUAGCGGUGAAAUGCGUAGAGAUCGGGAGGAAUACCAGUGGCGAAGGCGGCCUUCUGGACUGACACUGACACUGAGGUGCGAAAGCGUGGGUAGCAAACAGGAUUAGUACCCUAGUAGUC